rnacentral:rRNA from 1 species
GACGAACGCUGGCGGCGUGCUUAACACAUGCAAGUCGAACGGUAAGGCCCUUCGGGGUACACGAGUGGCGAACGGGUGAGUAACACGUGGGUGAUCUGCCCUGCACUUCGGGAUAAGCCUGGGAAACUGGGUCUAAUACCGGAUAGGACCACUGCCUGCAUGGGUGGCGGUGGAAAGCUUUUGCGGUGUGGGAUGGGCCCGCGGCCUAUCAGCUUGUUGGUGGGGUGAUGGCCUACCAAGGCGACGAUGGGUAGCAGGCCUGAGAGGGUGAGCGUGCACACUGGGCCUGAGUUCCGGCCCAGAUUCCUGAGGGAGGGAGAAGUGGGGAAUAUUGCACAAAGGGCGCAAGCCUGAUGCGGCGACGCCGCGUGAGUGAUGACGGCCUUCGGGUUGUAAACCUCUUUCAGCACAGACGAAGCUCAAGUGACGGUAUGUGCAGAAGAAGGACCGGCCAACUACGUGCCAGCCGCCGCCGUAA